GUACGCCUCCCGCUAUCGGGACUUGGCCUUCGAGAUCAAGAAGGCCAUACCCGAUGCGGUUGUGACUGGCAGAACUGGACGGCCAACCAGCUUUGAAGUCACUGUUGAUGGAAAAGUCAUCUUCUCCAAAAUCAACAGCCAUAGUUUUCCAGAUACAAAGAAGAUUGUGAAGGCCAUCCAGCAGGGUACCGAUGAGGAGGAUGUCACCAUGGUGGCAAAAACCAAAAACAGCUGUGUGGUUCUGUAAUCUCAGGCGUCAGCAGACGGCUGGAUAGGUCAGGAUUUGCAUCCGGAAAUGAUUCCGUUUAUGAUUGGGUUCCUGGAAACGCAAGGGGAACCCAUGAUGUCUGCUCAGAGUGAUUUCCAUUGAUGUGAACUGAUCUACAAAGUGCAUUCAUUUAUAUUUUCUUUAACAAUUUAGUAGUUUGUUUAAAUAGCAUCCUUACUUUUCCUUUUCACCACCUCCAGACAGAAAUAUUAUUCUUUUUUCAGGCAUUGUUCAUGAGUAAGGCCAUAUUCAGUCAAAGUCAAAGUGAAAUGUAUUUAUAAAGCACAUUUCAAAACAACUCACGUUGACCAAAGUGUUGUACAAUUAGAUCACAAUAAUAUCUGUUUACACCAGGCCACCAAGCCAUAUUUCGUCAUCAUAAUUCAGGCCUUUCUGUUUAAAUUCUUCACAAUGAGCAAACUGUCUAUAACACAUUCUCAAUUUGCAUGUUUGAAUGUAU
ensembl:lncRNA